rnacentral:rRNA from 1 species
UACGGAGGGGGCUAGCGUUGCUCGGAAUUACUGGGCGUAAAGCGCACGUAGGCGGCUUUCUAAGUCGGGGGUGAAAUCCUGGAGCUCAACUCCAGAACUGCCUUUGAUACUGAAGAUCUUGAGUUCGGGAGAGGUGAGUGGAACUGCGAGUGUAGAGGUGAAAUUCGUAGAUAUUCGCAAGAACACCAGUGGCGAAGGCGGCUUGCCAGAACGCGCUCGACGGUGAGGGAGUGAAAG